CCCUUAGAUGUUCUGGGCCGCACGCGCGCUACAAUGAUGAAUUCAACGAGUUUAUAACCUUGGUUGAAAAGCCUGGGUAAUCUUUUGAACUUUCGUCGUGAUGGGGCUAGACCCUUGCAAUUAUUGGUCUCCAACGAGGAAUUCCUAGUAAACGCAAGUCAUCAGCUUGCAUUGAUUACGUCCCUGCCCUUUGUACACACCGCCCGCCGCACCUACCGAUUGAAUGGUCCGGUGAAAUCUUCGGAUUGAGACUUUGAUUUGUUUACUCAAAACGCUGUUUCAAGAAGUUGAUUAAACCUUACCAUUUAGAGGAAGGUGAAGUCGUAACA
rnacentral:rRNA from 1 species